UUAAAUACUCUGUCUAGGUUUAGUCAGAGCUUUCUUUCCAAGAAGCAAGCAAUUAUCUUCCAAUUAAAGAAAAAAAACUAGAGGCUUGAGCAACUGAGUCUGCAACCUGAAUGCUUCUGAAAAACACUGGAGAUGUAACUUCCACCUAAGCGGCCAUGAAGCCCCCAGACAUCAUAGACCUCCUGGGCUCCCUCGGCCUCCUCGCCUGGAUAGCUCAGAUGACAGAAGAGACCUGACCCCUGUCACCAGGGGAGGAGUGCUGCCUGGAGGGGACCCCACCCACAGAUGGUUCCAUGGGCUACCUGAGUUCUGGAGCCUGGAAGUCUGAGAUCAGCAGGGCUGGUUUAUUCCGAGGCUUCUCUCCUUGGCUUGCAGAUGGCUGCCUUUCCUACGUCUUCACAAGUCUUCCAUCUGUUUGUGUCCAAAUAUCCCCCUCUUAUGAGAACAUAUUUUGGGCUCCAAAAUCACUGCAGAUGGUGAUUGCAGCCAUGAAAUUAAAAGACGCUUACUCCUUGGAAGGAAAGUUAUGACCAACCUAGAUAGCAUAUUCAAAAGCAGAGACAUUA